CUCAAGGCAGUGGCCAGUGCGGCUGGCAGGGCCAAGGCUGGGCUGAGUGAGGGCCAGGCCAGGAGCACCAGCACUUGGGGAGCUCCCAGGGCUGGGGAGAGCGUGCAGAGGGUGCAGAGAACACCUCGGGUGAGGCAGGUGCCACCAUUGGGACCAUGGCUGGAAAGAUCACCAAAAUCCUGCUGGUGCUGGCUGUCCUCCAUUAUGCACUGAGGGCAAGUGCCCAGGCAGCGCAGACCACGGCAGAGGUCCUGACACAGCAAGAGGAACAGCAGGGCCAGAUGAGUUGGCUGGCCAGAGCUGGAAAGAUCACCAAAAUCCUGGUGCUGCUGGGCAUUCUGAAAUACACACUGAGGGUAGAUGUUCCAACAGUGAGGGUGACAGAAGAGGUCCUGAAGCAACAUGAGAAGGAGCGCAUCAUGGAGAUGACCCAGCUGCUGGCGAUGGAACAGAGGAUACAAAAGCAGCGUGGAUUCAGCCCAGGAAGAAUGCUCCUCUUGGCUUGCCAGGAGUGGCAGUUCUGGGUCGGUGCUGAAAUCCUCCUCGUGCUUUUUGGGGUCUACUGGCUGCCCAGGCAGAGCAACUCAGAUUGUGAUGACGACAGCCAGUGGGAAACCACCAGUGCCCAGGAGCAGACAGAGGACAAGGAGGAGGAGGAGAGCUGCGAGGAUAAUCCUGACUCUCAUGACAAGCCAGAGAAGCCCCCAGAUAAGAGCCACUGUGGAGGUUCUUCUGGUGAAACACGCCCCUGGCCGUGGGGAGCAGUGACAGGAAAAUGUGCUGUGCUACCUCCCCUCCUGGCUGAGGAGGCAAACAAGAGUUCAGAUUCCUGCUUCCUGUGCAGCCCCUGGAAAUAGUCCCAGUUGUGAUGCUCCCCCUUCCAGGAAGUGUGGAACCCUUUGUAAAUACAUUCGUAAAAUUUUUCAUUUGUUUUAAU
ensembl:lncRNA uncharacterized LOC107200415